rnacentral:lncRNA from 1 species
GGUGGUAUUUUUGGUCUGUUGUUUAUGAAUGUGGCUUUUCUCAGAUUUUUUCCUGAAUUAUUGGUAGCUAGAUUAUUGUUAAGUACAUAGUAAAAUAAAUUAUGCAAGAAAAUAUUUGUAUAGGAUAUUUUAUCUUCAAAUUUGUUUUAAAUGUAUUCUUAAUCUCAAAUGACAAAUUAGGUCAAAAUGUUUUCUAAUGUAGUGAUAAUGGGUGUCUGCUUUCUGCAUGGUUAUGUCAGUGAUAAGAAAUGUCAUCGGUUCUGAGGAUCUUAGCUGUACAGAAAUAGAUGUGUUAUCUCCAUGAAAAGAUAGAUACCAUAUCUAUCAAGAACAAUGUCUUCAACUGAUCAAAACAUUUUAUACCCUCUGAUGACUUUUCAGUAAUUAAGAUCAUUUUAAAUGACUAUACACAAAAACAGUUCAUUAUUUUCUCAGAAUGCAAAGAAGAGAUUUUACAAACAGAAACGGACUCAGAAGCAAGUGGAUUCUAUUUGUUAAUUUUUGGUUUAAUUUAGAAACAGCCAAGAAAACUGAGAUGGCUUUGAAACCAUCAAUGGGUUGGACAUUAUGUGAGCAUGUGGGGCCUUGUACCAGCUGCAUGUGUGACGAGCACACACAUAAAACACAGGGAUAGCCCUUUACAAAAGUCACUGUUUUAGCAGGGCAACACAUUUAAUGGGUCAGCACAAUGUCAGGAGGUAUGUCUGUUGUUGUCAUAGUAACUAUACUUUUAAAAGAUAGGAAUUGUUUACUUAAAGUAACAAAAGUAUAAUUAUUAUUAUACAGAUUAAAAUAUAUAAAUGCAGCAAAGAGGACUCUUGUGACUCUAGUAAUAUUAUUAUUAUUAUUAUUUUUUAUUAUUAUUUUUUAUAUGUUUACUUUUAUUUUUUAUACAUUUAAACGGCAACAGAGGUUUACAAUAUUAUACAACUGUUAGGAACAAACAUUUCAGCCCAUAUUUAGCAGAUAUGGACAUUUAAAAAAGGACACACGAUCAUAUAUCAAUCUUUGUUUCCAGUCCAUGAAUAUGGGUUUUGGAAAACAUUAUUCUGUACCUACAGUCUUUAUGAGUUUGCACUGGUGGUUAUCAGUACUUAUUGGUAAAGUAGCAAUUUCAAAGAUAACAAACCUGCUAGCCCCUGAGUAUGUACACCUGUAAUGAAAGCAAUUACUAGCAUGAUGCUUCAAUUUAUUUUUUUCACUCAAAGAAGACAAUGAUAGGACUUAUAAGAGGUUUAUGAUUUCAGAUACUAUUAACAUGAUGAAUAAACAAUGACACAGAUUUUCAUCCAUAGUUUUCAAAUGGGUGUGGUUUUAUGGAAUUAUUAACUUUUUGUCAGUUUUCCACCACAAAAACUUUGACAAUUAAGUAAUUAUGCACAAAUAACAAAAUUUAUGGCUUAUCUGAAAAUGAAUAUAAAAUGUAUUUUAGAUGUUAUGGCAACACAGUGGUAGAAAGGAAAGAAUUGAUAUUUUGCACUAGAGCUGUUUUUCAUACAAUCUGGUACCAUUAACUCUGGGGUGUGGUGAUGAUAAUUCAUCAUCUAAACAUCUAAUUGGUAAAGCCUGGGUUUAAAUUUUUUGAAAGUGAGUUAUUCAUUUGAGAAAAAGAUAUUUCAGGAAGGACUGAUAGAUCUGCAUUUUAGAAAAAGUGCAGCUGGUUGAAAACUAGGAGGUUAAUUUAAAAGAAGAAGCCAUGCAAUUAUUUGAAUUAGGAUUGUGUGUUUCAGGGAAAUGGCGGCAUGGAAAAGUUCACUGAGAGUGGCAUGUUGGCUGAGUUAAAUUACAGUACAUUGUCUUCAGGGUCAUGCAUCAAUAAGAACAUGUUCAAAUGUCUAAUUAGUGAUGUUCUGGACUGAAACAUUACAGUAUCUUAAGGUUCUCCACAGCUGCUAUGAUGUCAUUGGAGUUAAAUUGGGUUCCAGCUUCUGCUGUCUUCAUUC